rnacentral:rRNA from 1 species
CUGCCGGUGUCAAACCGGAGGAAGGUGGGGAUGACGUCAAGUCCUCAUGGCCCUUACAUCCCGGGCUACACACGUGCUACAAUGGCAGGUACAGAGGGCUGCGAAGCCGCGAGGUGGAAGCGAAAUCCCAGAAAACCUGUCUCAGUCCGGAUUGAAGUCUGCAACUCGACUUCAUGAAGGCGGAAUCGCUAGUAACCGCGAAUCAGCAGGUCCGCGGUGAAUACGUUCCCGGGCCUU